GGGGGGGACCAGAGGUGGGGGGCGGGGAAAGAUCUGGGUGGGAGCGGUCCUGUCUGUGCAGCUGCCUUGUUUCUGGGAGCACACAGACCAGAGCCUCCUCCCGGACGGGACGGUUGUGUGUGGCCUGUCCCCCUUUGUCACACCUUUGGGAGGACAGUUCGGUGCGCCCGUGUCUCGCGUGUUGCCUCCGACUGUGCGUCUGGGCAUGGCUGCGUGUGCGUGAGAGACAGAGACAGAGAGAGGCUGUGUGUUACUGGCAGCUGACUGGCUCUGUUGAAACCCCAUCAGCCGCCAGCCCUGAAGACGUCCCUUGCUGAGCCUCUGGGAACCGAGCGCCUCGGGACAGAGGUGACUGGUGCAGCUGGGGGGGUGGGUGCUAGCCUACAUAGCCGCUUAAGCCCCUACUGCUGGGGUAAAGCGAUUAUCAGUGUGUGUGUGUGUGUGCGCGCGCGCGCCAUGUGUAGGUGGGUGAGACUGAGCUCACAGCCUCUGGAGGCUGCAGGCUUCUCGCACUGCCCCGAGAAGAUCCAAAAAUUCGCCUGCGGCGUUGCCCUCCCUUUCCCUGCCGAGACUGCCUCCCCGACGCUGACCUGAAAGGAGAGGACCCGGGUGAGAAGCUGCUGUCGCCUGGACCGGGACCCGGGACCCGAGACUCCGUUGCUACUGCUGCUGUGGCCACCGCUGCCGUGGGGACUUCCCUGAGACCAGGCCAGGGAUAGAGCCUCGCUGGCCGGAGGGGCCCCCUUUGCCCGCAGACAUCGGAGCCAGGUGACAGAUGGGUCCUUUCCUUCCUGCCCCGUCUCUCGAGCUCCCUCCUCAGAGGCUCACUCUCCGGCCUCCCAUGGGAAUCGUGGGAAUCGUCUGAAGUUCUGAGCCCGGAACCCGAGGAGGAGGAGGAGGAAGAGGAAGAGGAGGAGGAGGAGGAGGGAGAGGAAGUCGAGUCCUGAGAACCUGUGCACCUUCCCGGAAACAGGCGGAGGGGCGCGUCCCGGCCCGGUCACGGCGCCCGGCGCCUGCUGGUAGUGCCCCCGGCGGACCCCCCCCCCCUCCCGCGGUUGGCACGGGCCGCGUCUGCUUCGCCCGGGGCCCC